rnacentral:rRNA from 1 species
UACGUAGGGUGCGAGCGUUGUCCGGAAUUAUUGGGCGUAAAGGGCUCGUAGGCGGUUUGUCGCGUCGGGAGUGAAAACCUUGGGCUUAACUCAGGGCUUGCUUUCGAUACGGGCAGACUAGAGGUAUGCAGGGGAGAACGGAAUUCCUGGUGUAGCGGUGAAAUGCGCAGAUAUCAGGAGGAACACCGGUGGCGAAGGCGGGUCUCUGGGCCGUAACUGACGCUGAGGAGCGAAAGCGUGGGGAGCGAACAGG